CCAAAAUAAGAGGAGAGAGAGAAAAUAUUGUCAUAAAUGCUAAUUUUCAUAUUUUGAACAAUUACAACAGUUUUUAAUGUCACUGAUAUACGACAGCUAUUAAUUGUCAUUAAAAAAAAAGUGAUUUUUUUAUUGUGAAAAUAAAAAAUAAGUAUUCUUUUCCUUUUAAAAAAGUUAGAAAGUUAGACCCUCAUUUGUUAUAUUUCACGAUGUGGGUUUUCACAGAAGGUCAAUGCUACUAUGGUGUGGGUCGCUGUUCAGGUGUCACUGCUAUCCUUGACGUACAUCGUCUCCAUCCACGAUCGGUCGCCAUACUCCAGCCAUCGGACGUUGAGGUCAUGAUUGCUACACACCAUCACUGCCGUGUUGUUGCUGGAAGAGUUAGUUAGCAGGGCUCAAGGUAAUGGAUUGAAGAUUGCAAGUCAGAAAGAUUGAAUAAAAUCUUCUUUAAAUAAUGUAAUCGUACGUAGUCUAGUUUCGAGUUUGUCCAUUUCUUAGGCUUUCUUUUUCUAUUCCUUGAAAUAUUUCCAUUUCUUUCUGUAGUUUCUACUACCACUAAAGAAACCUGUGAAGGCUCUGAGUGAAAACGUGGAUCGUUUCAAUUUUUUGUUUUUCACAGAACGUAAAUUACAGAAUUUUAUUCUGCAAAAAACUAAUUUUACAACAUACUAACAAAAUUAGAGAAAAGGAAAAUUAAAAAUCAGGGUUUCAAGAAACCCUUACCUU